AGUGAACGCUGGCGGCAGGCCUAAUACAUGCAAGUCGAACGGCAGCACAGCAGAGCUUGCUCUGUGGGUGGCGAGUGGCGGACGGGUGAGGAAUACGUGGGAAUCUGCCCAGUCGUGGGGAUAACGUAGGGAAACUUACGCUAAUACCGCAUGCGCCCUUCGGGGGAAAGCCGGGGACCUUCGGGCCUGGCGCGAUUGGAUGAGCCCACGUCGGAUUAGCUAGUUGGCGGGGUAAAGGCCCACAAGGCGACGAUCCGUAGCUGGUCUGAGAGGAUGAUCAGCCACACUGGAACUGAGACACGGUCCAGACUCCUACGGGA
rnacentral:rRNA from 1 species